rnacentral:rRNA from 1 species
UACGUAGGGGGGCUAGCGUUGUCCGGAAUCAUUGGGCGUAAAGAGCGUGUAGGCGGCCCGGUAAGUCCGCUGUGAAAGUCGGGGGCUCAACCCUCGAAUGCCGGUGGAAACUGUCGGGCUCGAGUGCGGAAGAGGCGAGUGGAAUUCCUGGUGUAGCGGUGAAAUGCGCAGAUAUCAGGAGGAACACCGAUUGCGAAGGCAGCUCGCUGGGACGUGACUGACGCUGAGACGCGAAAGCGUGGGGAGCAAACAGG